rnacentral:rRNA from 1 species
UGCGUAGGCGGCUUUUUAAGUCAGUGGUGAAAUCUUGCCGCUUAACGGUAAAAUUGCCAUUGAUACUGAAGAGCUUGAGUCCAGUUGAGGUAAGCGGAAUGUGUAGUGUAGCGGUGAAAUGCUUAGAUAUUACACAGAACACCAAUUGCGAAGGCAGCUUACUAAACUGUCACUGACGCUGAUGCACGAAAGCGUGGGGAGCGAACAGGAUUAGAUACCCUGGUAGUCCACGCCGUAAACGAUGCUCACUCGCUGUUUGCGAUACACAGCAAGCGGCCAAAGCGAAAGCAUUAAGUGAGCCACCUGGGGAGUACGAUCGCAAGGUUGAA